GCCCACCGCCGGCCGCCCCGGUCCCUCCCCGCCGAGGGAGCCGCGCCGCGGCAGGUUCCCCUCCGGUGGCACAGGAAGGGAGCGGCUGGCGUGCGAUCCGUGCCCAGGUGGGAAGACAAGGAGGUGAACAAGGCAGAGGAAGACAAAAUACAGAAAGAGUUUAAAUGAGCAGCCCAGUCCUUCUUACGCUACUGUUUCAUCCAAAGCAAUAUAUACACUUGUUCUGGGGCUCACAUCAUACUCAACGAUUUUGAUCUCUGGUCUUGUCAGUUUGCAUAAAGAAUUUACAUAGAGAUGGACCCAUGCCUGGUCUCAGGCUGAACACUGAAAAAGUGAAUGAGAGAUGGGAGAUGCUGCUUCGCAAGAAGGCAGGAUACCACAGACUGGCUGGCAGUGAUGUGCCACUCAGUGAAUCAGGGCCUCUGGGCUCCUCUGGAGCAUGAUUAAAAAAAAAAAGAAGCACUCUAUUCUCCUGUAGUCAUGUAAUUUAAAAGUAUAAUACUAACAUCAUAAAUGAAUUCAGUUAAAAAAUACCCAAAUUAACAUAAUAAUGAGGCAUUGGGAUUAUAAUAUCAGCAAGCUGUUAAUUUACUGCUUAGCAGUAACACUAAACAAAUAGUUACCAGUUAUUUAUUAUUAUUUAUGGUAUCUAACAGAUGAGCUGGGAAAUGUACAAGCAUGCAGGAAGGUAGGUCUCUAUCUUCAGUAAUUUACAGUCUAAAACCAGAAUUCUAAAGACAAGAGUAAGCAUAGCUGAUUAAAUUGUUAUGGGAUAUGAGUGUUCUGUGAGAAAUUUAAGAGCUAUCUAGUGUCCUGUAACCUAAUUAGGGGCUAAAGAAUCUUCAAUUAAAUAUUAAACUAACCAGUUGUAAUUAGAUGCAUAACUGUUCCAAUAUGUCCACAGAUAAUAUAGGAGAAUGACUUGGAAAUUGAAACUCUCUCUUCAUAGUUACAUUCAUCUGUCACUUCCUCCUGUUCCCUGGAUGUCAGAAAGCCCAUUCAUUUGUAUGGAGACUGUGUGAAAUGAAUCAGCCAUCAGCCCUGUACCCUUCUGAGGCCAAACUAAGUCUUGCACUGUCCCACUGAAAGUUAUCAAAACCAUUAAAAGUUACAAAAAAGAAGAUGUGUUGAAAUAGUCUGAUACAAUAAACCAGUUAUUGAGAGUCACAGGGAACAGAAGGAUGAAAUGGCAGAGCUGUUCAACAUCAUUGGCUUUUCCCAUGAUAAUCAGUUGUGAUCCCUGAGAAUAAGGAUGUAAUAUUUAAAACAAAUGCAGAGUGAUGGUGAGAAUGCAAGUCAGGGAAGUUCUGCUGUCAAUAAUUAGGGAGCUAUCUACUAGCUAGUCUACAAAAAUGUAGACAAAGGAGAAUGAGUAAGCUGAAAUUUAUUCAGAAUUUAUAACCAUGCCCUUCUCAAUGGGUUAUCAAGGAAACUAUAUAGUUACAGUUUUGAACAACAAAGAACUGUCAUAGACCAAUAGAAAGUAGUAACAAUCACUCAGUAAUCAACAAGAAAUCAAAAAGUGAAAUUCCCCCCAAAGUGUCUAAUAACAUUGUUGUUAUUUAAAAUACUUACUGAUUAGGUAUUAUACAUAAAAACACAGUAAAAUUUAUGUGGGACAGGAAGUUAUGAGGGAUAGGUAAAAUUAAAGAAGUUCAUGGGAAAUGCUAGUGGGAUCCAAUAAAAACCCCAAACUGGCUAAAACAGCGUCAUAAGGGUGAAGUGGUGGGUAGCAAUGGCCACAACUCUCUACUCCAGGGUCCUUAGCACACCCUUGCAGAUCAUACCCACUGUUUCAGAAGGCUGACUGCUUGCCUUGGGCUCAGAUAUGGGACACUAGAGAGAGACUGAUGAGGUCUUUGGAUCGAUAUACUUGGAUAUAAUCUUUGGAUUAAUAUCUACUGCUGUUUACCCAUCUGGGCACAAACACUGCCACCAAAAGAGACCUUGAAGAGAUUAGAGCUGACUGCUAUCCUCUAGGAGCAGCGGUAAAGGGGCCACAGUGGUGGUUUUUUUGAUCUUACCAGUCAA